rnacentral:rRNA from 1 species
AUGAACGCUGGCGGCGUGCUUAACACAUGCAAGUCGAACGAUUAAAGCUCACUUCGGUGAGUGUAUAGAGUGGCGAACGGGUGAGUAACACGUGGGAAACCUGCCCCUUUCUUCGGGAUAACUUCGGGAAACCGUUGCUAAUACCGGAUACUCCGGGAUGGUCGCAUGGCCGACCCGGGAAAGCUUUAUGUGGAAAAGGGGUGGUCCCGCGGCCCAUUAGCUUGUUGGUGGGGUAAUGGCCUACCAAGGCAAUGAUGGGUAGCCG